rnacentral:rRNA from 1 species
GUCCACGCUGUAAACGAUGGAUGCUAGGUGUCGGGGCCUUGAGCUUCGGUGCCGCAGCUAACGCGUUAAGCAUCCCGCCUGGGGAGUACGGUCGCAAGGCUGAAACUCAAAGAAAUUGACGGGGGCCCGCACAAGCGGUGGAGUAUGUGGUUUAAUUCGAUGCAACGCGAAGAACCUUACCCAGGCUUGACAUCCGGGAAACCCUCCCGAAAAGGAGGGGUGCUCUUCGGAGAAUCCCGAGACAGGUGCUGCAUGGCUGUCGU